GUCUUGGUCGAUUAGUGGUUAAAUCAUCUCGUUGUGGUCGUGAUUCUUUGCUCAUUGCUACAACCGAGAAGCCGAGGGCUCGACUCCCUCCCGAGACA